UGGAGGGGGUUCCAACAGGAUUCGGGGGUUCAGGUAAGUUGCAGGGGGUUCUGGUUGGGGUGCAGGGCAUCCAGGCAACGUGCAGUGUGUCUGAUUGGAGUUCAGGGGGCCCAGACAGGGUUCAGACAUCUGGGGAAAGCGUAGGGGAUUCUGUUUGGGGUGUAGGGGCUCUAUCUGUGAUACAGAGGGCCCAGAAACUGUGCAGAGUGACUUGUUGGGGUGCAGGGGGUUCUUGUCGGGGUGCAGGUCAUCCAGGCAAGGUGCAGGGUGUUCUGGUUGGGGUGCAGGGGCUUUAGACAGCGUUUAGGGUUCCACGUAAGGUGCGGGUGGUUCUGGUUGGGGUAAAGGGGGUCUGUUUGGGUUGCAGAGGCUCCAGGCAACGUGCAGAAGAUCUGAUCGGGGUUCCAGGGGUCCAGGCAAGGUGCAGGUUGUUCUGAUUGGGGUGCAGGCGGUCUGGUUUGGAUGCAGGGGACCCAGACAGGGUUCAGGAGUUCUUGUUGUGGUUCAGGGAGUCUCAGACAGGGUUCAGGGCAUCCAGGCAAAGUGCAGCGCGUUCUGGUUGGGGUGCAGGGUGUCUGUUUGUGAUUCAGGCAACCCGGACAUUGUGCAGGGUGUGUUGUUAGGGUGUAGGGGGUUCAGAUAUCAUUCAGGGUGUCCAGGCAAGUCUGAGAGGUUUCUGUUUUGCAUGCAGGGGAUCUGUUUGGGUUGCAGGGGCCCCAGACAUGGCGCAAGAGUUCUUGUUGGGGUGCAGGGGUUUCAGCCUUCAUGGCGUUCAGGCAAUAUGCAGGGGGUUCUGGUUGUGGUGCGUGGGAUCUGCUUUGCUUUGUGUCACAGGGCUUCCAGGCAAGGUGCGGACGGUCUCAUUUGGAUUCAGGAGGCCCAGAGAGGGUUCAGAGGGUCUAGGCAAGGUGCAGGGUUUUCUGUUUGGAGUGCAGGGAUCCCAGAGAGGGUGUAGGGUGUCUUGUUGGGGUGUACAGUGUUCAAGGCAAGUUGCAUGGAGUUCUGUUUGUUGUGCAGGGGGUCGGGUUGGGGUGCACGGGUUCUGUUUGGGAAGCAGAGGACCCAGACACGUCACAAGGGUUGUCGUUUGGAUGCAGGGGGUUCAGACAGGGUUCAGAGCGUUCAGGAACUAUGCAAGGGCUGCUGUUUGUGGUGCAGGGGGGUUCUAGACAGGGUGCAGGGAGUCUUGUUGGGAUGCAGGUGGUUCAGAGAGUGUUCAGGGGGGUCCAAGCAAGGUGCAGGCGGUCUGAUCGGCGUUCAGGGGUUCCAGGCAAGUUCCAGGGUGUUCUGUUUGAGUUGCAGUGGGUAUGGUUGGGAUGUAGAGGGCACAGACAGGGUUCAGGGGUCUCGCUGGGGUGCAGGGGCUUCCGACAGUGUUCAGGGUGUUCUGUUUGUUGUGCAGGGAGUGGUUUGGGAAGCAGGGGACUCAGACUCGUUGCAGGGGGUUCUGGUUGGGGUGCAGUGGGUUCAGACAGUGCUCAGGCGAUCCAGGCAAGUCCCAGGGACUUGUGUUUGUUGUGCAGGGGGUGUGGUUGGGAUGCAGAGGGUUGGUUUGUGAUGGAGGGGGCUCAGACAGGGUGCAGGGUAUCUUGUUGUGCGGGGGGGUUCAGAGAGUGGUCAGGAGGUACCGGUUGGGGUUCAGGGUGUCUGUUUGGGGUGCAAGGCAUUCAGGCAAGGUGCAGGGAUUCUGGUUGUGGUUCAGAGGGACCAGACGGGGUGCAGGGGGUCCUGUUGGUUUGUAGGGGGUUCAGACAGGGCUCCAGGGACCUCUUUGGGAAGCAGGGGACCCGGACACGUUGCGUGGUUCUGGUUGGGGUGCAGGAUGUUCAGUCAAGGUUCAGGGGGUCCAGGCGAUUCUGUUUAGGGUGCAGGGGGUCUGUUUGCGAUGUACAGGGCCCAGACAGUGUGCAGGGUGUGUCAUUGCAGUGGUGGGGGUUCAGACAACGUGCAGGGGUCCUGGUUGCUGUUCAGGGGGCAUUGUUGGGGUUCAGGGGUCUUGUUCAUGUACAGAGGGGUAUUCUUGGGGUAUAGGAGUUCCAGUUGGGCUUCAUGGGGUACAGACAGUGUGAAGGGGGGCCAGGCAAGUUGCAGCGGGUGUGGUUGGGGUGCAGAGGGUCAAGACAACGUGCAGGUGUUCUGAGCAGGUUUCAAUGGGUCUGGUUGUGGUGCAGGGGGUCUGUUUGGGUUUCCUGGGGCACAGAGAGUUUACAGGAGGUCCAGGCGAGGUGCAGGGGGUCUUUUUAGGGUGCAGGGGUUUCAGACAGGUUGCAGGGGAUAUGGUUGGAGUUCAGGGCAUCUGGUUGGAGUGCAGGGGUCUGAGCAAUGUGCAGGGAGUCUGGCUGGGUUCAGGGGUCCCACAGAGGCUUCAUGGGGUCUUGUUGGGGUGAAGGAGGUCCCAUUGGGGUUCAUGGGGCCCAGACAGCGUGCAGAUGGUCUAGACAGGUUGCAGGGGGUCUUGCUGGUGUGCACGAGGUCUCCUUGGUCUGCAGGGGAGCCAGGCAAGGUGCAGGGGGUCUGGUUGGGAUUCAGUGGGUCUGGUUGGGAUUCAUGCUGCAAAGACUGGGUACAGGGGGUCCGAGCAAGGUGCAAGGAGCCUGGUUUGGGUGUAGGGGCCCCAGAGAGUGUGCAGAGGGUCCAGCCAGGUUAUAGCUGAUCUUGUUGAAAUGCCGAGGGCCCAGGCAAUGUGCAGGGGGUCUUGUUGGUGUCACAGGUGUCCGGGGAAUGUGCAAGUCAUCUGGCUGGGCUGCAGGACAUCUGAUUGUUUUGCAGGGGGUCCAGACAAGGUGCGUGGGGGCCAGGCGAGUUGCUGGUGAUCCGGUUGGGGUGCAGGGGAUCUCAUUGUUGUACAGAGGGCUGAGACAGGGUUCAGUAGGUCCAGGCAUCGUGCAGGGGAGCUGGCUGGGGUUCAGGUGACACUGACAGGGUGCAUCUGGUUGCUGUCAGGGGGUACGAUUGGCGUGUGAGGCACUCAGUUAGCACACCAGGGCCAAGCGGACUACAGAGGUCUCGGUGUUUAGAGGGUAAGUUUGGUGUGCCGGGCAUCUUGUUGGGCUGCAGGGGGGCUGGUUGAGGUGCACGGGGUCCAGGCGAGGCGUAGGGGCUCUCUGUGAGGUUCAGGGGGUGUAGUUGGCCAUCUGGGGGCCCAGAGAUGGUCCAGGGGGGCCAAGUAGUGAGCACGGAGUCUGGUGGGGUGCGGGGUCACCAGGCAAAGUCUAGGAGGUGUGGUUGUGCUAUGGAGGAACUCAUUGGUGUGCGUCGCAGGCCAGCAAGGUGCACGGGGUCUGGUUGGUGUGUAGGGGGCUCAGACAUCUAUGCGGUGAACAGCACAUCUUUAAGUUCUUUCCCCAUUCCUUCUCUUAUGUUAAAACGGUAGGGUUGCUCGGAAUCAUACAUCAUCCUUUUGCCAUUCCGGAUGAUUUAGCCACAACAAGACAAAUCAACCUAAGGCACUUCCUCCUGUUGCCUUUCAGAGGCAUGGCGACCGACCCCAGGCCGCUCAGGCCAUCAGCUCACAGACACCAAUGUGGUGGAUGGCAAAUGGUGUUUUAUUGAGGAAUAUACAGGCCUUAUGUAGCUUGGGUUUACAAUGUCACUUCUGUCUGCUUACAUCACUGCUACAUUACUAUUGGCUAUCGGGGUAUCAGAAAAAGGGGCCCUAUCUUUCCGUACAGCGCGAUAUCUUCCGACCGCCAGGCCCUGACAACCUACAUCCUCCUGUUUCCCUUCCCUCCAACAAAACAACAUCGACAGUAUAUAAUGUUAAGCUGUAAGGUCCGUGCUUUGGCCACUUCUCUCGAUCUUCUAAAACGUACAGUGGCCACCAACGAUUACAAUAGUCAAUGAAUUGUUUCCCAGAUAAGGGGUUCGCUUCCCACGUCCCUCCAAUAUUUUAAUAUACAUUCCAGAGGUGACUUUUUGAAAAGACCGCUCUCAGACCCCUUAGACAGGUCGGAACCCACAUUAAACAAAAUAAACAAUUACUUACACAAAACUAUGACACCGCCUAACAGACUAAACAAGGCUGUUAUACAAGAUAAUAAUUAGACAUGGACAUUGGCCAAUGCCCCGCGAUACCCUAGCCUGCACCUUAUGUGCGAUCGAGGCUUUCUUCUGACCCCAGGCGACACUCCGGGCACGUCACCGUAAUAACGUGUAAUCUCGCCUUUCUUCCCGGGUUUCCCUUAAUAGCAGAGUCCCAUGGGAAUUUCUUGCGUCCAGUCUUACGGACAGCCUUUUCCAGUCUGUGUUACCUUUGGUAAUGCCUGAAAAAAACCACAAACAAACAAACCAACCAACCAAAACAACAAAAAAAAAAACCCACCAGGGCUCUUACUCCAAACUCACCAGAUCAGGGGUUCGGAGGAUCUCCCCGAAAAACACUUAGGCAACGCCAGAGUCUUCACAAUCCCGUGGGUUUGUCAAGUUUCCGAGGCAGCAUCCCAUCCGGGUCGCCGAAAUUCUCUACUGAAAUCGGCAACGAAACCUCCUUAACGCCAGGUUUAGCGUUAACGCAUGGGGAUUGCUUUAUCUGGCUGGGUACGCGAGGGAAUCGUUCCGCCUAACUCGCCUGUCGUACAUUACCAUAGCCAAAACUCAUAUCAUCCCGUUAUGUGCCUAUUCAUUAACUCAUUAUCGUCGUUAUAUAACUAUUACCUCUGCGAUUUAGGUCGCUGAGGGGCUUCCACGGAGGUCCUCGGCGGUCUGUAGCAGUUUCUGGAGAGGAUCCUUUCUCGAACUUCGUCUAGGUUUUAGAAUGGGCCUUUCUUCGGUUUACGUCUGCGCUUUCUUACAUCCCGCCUGCCUUCAGCUAGUUUGUUGUUUUUCAGAGGGCCUUGACGUUGAAGGACGAGGGCUUCCGAUUAGGAGUCUCUCAAUGAGACACGGAGCCUCCCCACAUAUGCAUUUCUGGGGAGGUGUUUAUCACGCUCACCUAGCCGAAGGAUCUCCGUGUGACAGAUCACACGUCAUAGGCGUUUGACCGAUCGCUUAAGUUUUUACGCUACGCUAAGCAAUUUUUUUUGCUUGGCCAUUUUGCAACAGCGGUGUUUCGGUUUGCCAUCGGUAUUUUUAAAUUCUUUUGUCUCUUCAUCCCUGGGCUUUUACAAUUGGCUUGUAUCUCGGUCACCGCAUUUGUUUUUAAAUUAUUUUGUCUCAAUUUUCCUCGUUGCUGACCUCUAAAAUUUUAUUUCUACAUCUCCGCUGUAAUUUGCCAUCAAUAUAUCUGAUUUAUUUCAUUAUUUCUUUAUUAACCAUCGCUUUUAAUGUACCCUGGCUACCUGUAUUCUGUUUGCGUUUUUUUUUUUUUAAAUUAUUUUUUUGUCCUUUGUUUGUCUCCACACCCACGUUCCCUCCGCUCCCCGGAGCCCUCUCAUUCUCGUCACGACGUCUCUCGAGACAAUCCUCGUGUCUGACAGCACCGUUUGAGCUCCACGGCUCUCCGCGUACAUCUCUUACGCAGACAGAUCCCUUCCUCGGGCUUUGUCCACACCCCAGAGCCAUCUUACUUAAUCACCGCCAUUUCGGAUGCAUCCGUUUGGUCGGUCGUCCCCCGAGAACCUCCGUACGUUGCGGGGAUGCCUUCCCUAGUUAAGCAUCCCGUGCGAGAGCCGUCUUUUAUGUUUGGCUCUUCUCCUGAUGUCAGCGUGCCUCCCGAGGCCAUCCUCGUGCUCCGCCGCCCUUUAUCAGCUCUGCUGUCAAAGUACCGAGGCCUGAACGACAGGUCUCGAGCCAAAGUCAGCCUCUAGACGAAUCUCACGACCAAACGUGUUAUAUACUGACCGUAUCCAAUCAUUACUGAAAUACGUAGCUUGGAUAGAACAUCUGAUUAUCGAGAUAAGUAGCUUAGAUAAAACAAUACAUGAAUAUACCAACAUUUCCUAGUUUAGGAGCCAAUUAUUGAGGUUGAUUAAGCAAACUCCCUCGGUUCCUCUUAUGUUGACAUUUCCUAGUUUAGAAGCCCAUUAUCGAGGUCGAAUACGCAAACUCCCUCAGUUCGUCCUCGAGCAUCGGCCAGGCUUGGGAAAGAAUCCCAAAGGAGGAUGACGAGGCGGCUCAAUCCACCUGAUGUCUUGCGUGCAUUUUGUCAGUUCUACAGAUUUACAGAUUUGUUUGUUAACCCAUCUAAAACCGGAACCCUCACUCAGCAAAGACGGAGACCUCGUCCACGAGCGGACGCACCGUGUAGGACUCGUCAGUUGCCGGGAAAGCCUCUCCGAUCCUUCGUCGUGACAGGGCUCCCCAGCUGAAGCACGGAUCCAGAGCCUAAUCAAAUACCCAUCUUUUUCAACGUAUACCCUGGAAAAAUUAAGCAGAACUCCCUACCGGGUCACAUCGCCAACACAACAGGCCCAGUAAAAGAGCAGGUGUCAAUGCUCUCUCAGUCCUUCAGUCAGUAGCAGCUUUUGAGCCAUUUAAGCUUGUGAGACUGAUGUGUUUUGAUCUCUAGAGGAACAGAGUAAUUUGAGAUUAGUUAUUGUGUUUGAGAGGGCAAGAUAAUUUAAUAAGAUAGUUUCACCUUUGGGAUCAUCUGAGCAUCCGAAAGCAGCCGGGUAGUAGCAAGGCCGAGCACGGGGUCGGUGACUUCUCACAAGCGCAACGGUAACUUUGUCUCUCGGUAAGUUAGGUACCGCAAGCGACAACGGCUGCAGAAUCUGACUCCAAAACGAGCAGGCGAUAAAGGAAUCGGGCCACUGCAGGAACAUGCUAGUUAGCUGCCGCGCUGCUUUUGUCGAGGAUGGAAUCGGACCUCCUUCCCUCUGAAAGCUAAGUCGAGCGAACGGGGCCGAGAGGAAGGGACGGGGUUGGGAAUUGCAGGGAAGUGUUUGAAAGUUAGCAUAGGGGAUAAGGCUGCACAGGAGCAGGCCCUAUAGUCAGGUAAAGGGAACAGAUUAUUUUUCCCCUUGAUGUUAGUAUGUCCCGGGCAGGGCAGUUCCAGCCUCUGCGUGUGUCAUCUUGUAGUUUGUUUCUUCUGUCUGCCGUGUCUUUGCCCUUCCUCGGCUCUAAAUGUCCUCACAUCUCUUUGUGCUCGAGGAGCACGGCACGCGCCUUAGGCGUCAUCCCUAGGGUAUCGAACGCCCAUCUUCAUCGGCACGCUGCCGAUCGGGUGCUUUUUAUUCUUGCGUUAUAAGCUUAGAGCGUGGGUAGGUCUUGGAAGUUUCCAUUCAGGAAGUCUUUUGCGCAGCGUCGUCGCAGGCUCUGGCAUCAGCUCUGCUAUUUAGGCGUCCGUUGUUCCUGCCGGUGACUUCUUUCCCGUAUCCUGACAUUCUUAGGUCUUGAAGCCCAUCUUCUUGCAUACCCAUCGUCUCGGUUUUGACGGUAGCUUCUCGUAAGGGGCCGUUCCACUUACUGCUUCUUGUAGGCUGCCAUAUAGCCUCCUCGCAUCACCAUCGUGGCCCUCCGAGUCUUCUCGCCUUACGGCAUACCCUUCUGGGUGUCCUUAUCGCUUAGCGUUUAGUCAUCUUUGAAUCGUGUCAUUUGUAGUAUUUUGUGUGUGUCUGUGUGGCUCGGAGCUGCUCUGCCUGGGGGGUGUAGAGUCGGGGAUAGGUGGAAUAGAGUUCACGGGUAUACCGUAUGGGUUUGUUUUAAAUAAGAAAACGAAUCCUCCAACUGGGUGACGUCUUUGUCUCCCCGGUGGGGUUUAUUUUCACCCAGUCGCAGAUGCUCUCUGAGGGUGACGGUCGCGGUCAGCGUCUGGGUGAAGGUCAGGUUUGGGCCGGGAUUUCCUCAGGCUAGGCGCUCGAGUCCCCCAGGAAGAGUAUUCAGGGGGUGACCGCCUGUCGUGACGGUUGGGCGGAAGGAUGGGCCGGUGGAGAGUGGGGGUUGGUUUUGGCGGUAGGUGGAAUAGCGGUAUGUUUAGAAUGUGUCUAGCCGUGUAUGAGUAUUUGUCGUCUCUUUUCUUCCAGGACGUAGGCGGGGCUCAAUUUGACUACGUGGACUGGAUUUAAUGAAAACCUCUGUCAGGGGAAUAAACUUCUGUUUUUCCCGUCUCCUGGCUGGGUAGUUUUUCCCUGGUCCCGCCCGGUGUGCGAUGCAAGGAUCGUUAUCUAGAUUUGGGUGCAGGUCAGGCUCAGGCUGGAGUUUUUUCAGGCAGGAUGAUUUUUUGAGGCCCCCAUACCUGGUGUUUAUGAGGAUCACGGAGGGUGAUGGCUUGUGUCGGUUUUGGUGGUAGGGUGGCCAAGGGGAGAACACAUGGUGGUUGGAGUGGUAGCUGGCUGUGUGGCGUUUAAAAUGUGUGUAGCAGUGCCUGAAUGGUUGAUGUUUUGUUUUUUCCUUACGGGCUGUAGGUUGUGUAGCAUUGUUUAGAGGCAGUAGACAGACAAAAUAGAAAUUAAAAAAAAAAAAAAAACCAAAAAAAA